rnacentral:rRNA from 1 species
GGAAUCUUGCACAAUGGAGGAAACUCUGAUGCAGCGAUGCCGCGUGAGUGAAGAAGGCCUUUGGGUUGUAAAGCUCUUUUGUAGGGGAAGAUAAUGACUGUACCCUAAGAAUAAGGUCCGGCUAACUUCGUGCCAGCAGCCGCGGUAAUACGAAGGGACCUAGCGUAGUUCGGAAUUACUGGGCGUAAAGCGCGCGUAGGCCGUUGAGUUAGUUAAUUGUGAAAUCCCAAAGCUUAACUUUGGAACUGCAAUUAAAACUGCUCGACUAGAGUUUGAUAGAGGAAAGCGGAAUACAUAGUGUAGAGGUGAAAUUCGUAGAUAUUAUGUAGAACACCAGUUGCGAAGGCGGCUUUCUGGAUCAACACUGACGCUGAGGCGCGAAAGUAUGGGUAGCAAAGAGGAUUAGAUACCCUCGUAGUCCAUACCAUAAACGAUGAUUGCUAGAUGUUGGAAAUUUAUUUUCAGUAUCGCAGCUAACGCAUUAAGCAAUCCGCCUGGGGAGUACGACCGUAAGGUUAAAACUCAAAUGAAUUGACGG